UACAGAGGGUGCAAGCGUUAAUCGGAAUGACUGGGCGUAAAGCGUGUGUAGGUGGUUGGAUAAGUUAGAUGUGAAAUCCCCGGGCUUAACCUGGGAACUGCGUCUAAAACUAUUCAGCUAGAGUACUGUAGAGGAUAGUGGAAUUUCCAGUGUAGCGGUGAAAUGCGUAGAUAUUGGAAGGAACACCAGUGGCGAAAGGCGACUAUCUGGACAGAUACUGACACUGAGACACGAAAAGCGUGGGGAGCAAACAGG
rnacentral:rRNA from 1 species